UCUCCGUUGGUGAACCAGCGGAGGGAUCAUUACCAGAGUGCCAUAGGCUCUCCAACCCACUGUGAACAUACCUAACGUUCCCUCGGCGGGCUCAGCGCGCGGUGGCCUCCGGGCCCCGGGCGUCCGCCGGGGACAACCAAACCCUGAUUUAAUCGUACUUCUCUGAGGGGCGAGAGCCCGAAAACAAAAAUGAAUCAAAACUUUCAACAACGGAUCUCUUGGCUCUG
rnacentral:misc_RNA from 1 species